rnacentral:rRNA from 1 species
AAUCUUCCGCAAUGGACGAAAGUCUGACGGAGCAACGCCGCGUGAUUGAUGAAGGUUUUCGGAUCGUAAAACUCUGUUGUUAGGGAAGAACAAGUAUCGGAGUAACUGCCGGUACCUUGACGGUACCUAACCAGACAGCCACGGCUAACUACGUGCCACCAGCCGCGGGAAUACGUAGGUGGCAAGCGGUGUCCGGAAUUAUUGGGCGUAAAGCGCGCGCAGGCGGUCUUUUAAGUCUGAUGUGAAAGCCCCCGGCUCAACCGGGGAGGGUCAUUGGAAACUGGGAGACUUGAGUGCAGAAGAGAAGAGUGGAAUUCCACGUGUAGCGGUGAAAUGCGUAGAGAUGUGGAGGAACACCAGUGGCGAAGGCAGCCCCCUGGGAUAAUACUGACGCUCAGACACGAAAGCGUGGGGAGCAAACAGG